UACGGAGGGGGCUAGCGUUGUUCGGAAUUACUGGGCGUAAAGCGCGCGUAGGCGGACCUGCAAGUCGGGGGUGAAAGCCCGGGGCUCAACUCCGGAACUGCCUUUAAGACUGCAUCGCUUGAAUCCAGGAGAGGUGAGUGGAAUUCCGAGUGUAGAGGUGAAAUUCGUAGAUAUUCGGAAGAACACCAGUGGCGAAGGCGGCUCACUGGACUGGUAUUGACGCUGAGGUGCGAAAGCGUGGGGAGCAAACAGG
rnacentral:rRNA from 1 species